GAAUUUGGUUGAACCAACGAGAACUGCUAAUUACUCUUUAUUGUGGUUUGAUUCCACAACAAAUUCG
rnacentral:tRNA from 1 species